rnacentral:lncRNA from 1 species
AAAAGAAUUUGUAUCAAAUUCAUCCAUUAAAAAUAGAUUAUAGUAAAUGAGAUAUCUAUUUAAAGCAAUGGUAAAGGGAGUGUAGUUUUUUUGUUACUGUUAUUUGUGACUUCUUAAUUAUGUUUUGUAAUUAGUUUUGUAGUAUACUUUCAUCUGGUGCCCUUCAUUUAGAUGAAGAAGUCUGUAUUGAAUAACUCCGUGCUAUCUCUAGGCAGAUGACUUAGGGCUCUUUUGAUUUUUUGAUACUUACAUCUUCAUGUGGUUUUCUAGUAGAAGUCCUGGUUUUUCCCU